rnacentral:rRNA from 1 species
UACGUAGGGUGCAAGCGUUAAUCGGAAUUACUGGGCGUAAAGCGUGCGCAGGCGGUUAUGUAAGACAGAUGUGAAAUGCCCGGGCUUAACCUGGGAACUGCAUUUGUAACUGCAUGGCUAGAGUUUGGCAGAGGGGGGUAGAAUUCCACGUGUAGCAGUGAAAUGCGUAGAUAUGUGGAGGAACACCGAUGGCGAAGGCAGCCCCCUGGGUCAAGACUGACGCUCAUGCACGAAAGCGUGGGGAGCAAACAGG